rnacentral:rRNA from 1 species
GAUGAACGCUAGCGGCAGGCCUAAUACAUGCAAGUCGAACGGAUAUAUGUUUUUCGGAAUAUAUAUUAGUGGCGCACGGGUGAGUAACACGUACAUAACUUGCCCUCAAGCGGGGGAUAGCCUUGGGAAACUGAGAGUAAUACCCCAUAGAAUUAUUGGACGGCAUCGUUUGAUAAUUAAAACUACGGUGUUUGGGGAUAGAUGUGCGUCUGAUUAGCUAGUUGGUGAGGUAACUGCUCACCAAGGCGACGAUCAGUAGGGGGCGUGAGAGCGUGGCCCCCCACACGGGUACUGAGACACGGACCCGACUCCUACGGGAGGCAGCAGUAAGGAAUAUUGGUCAAUGCCCGGAAGGGUGAACCAGCCAUGCCGCGUGAAGGAUGACUGCCCUCUGGGUUGUAAACUUACUUUUGGUAUGGGACGAAAAAACGGGAGUUUAUCCUGGACUGACGGUACCACUCAGAAUAAGCACCGGCUAACUCCGUGCCAGCAGACGCGGUAAAAUAGUCGUGU